AGCGAACGCUGGCGGCAGGCUUAACACAUGCAAGUCGAGCGGGCAUCCUUGUGGUGUCAGCGGCAGACGGGUGAGUAACGCGUGGGAACGUGCCCUUCGGUUCGGAAUAACUCAGGGAAACUUGAGCUAAUACCGGAUACGUGCGAGAGCAGAAAGGUUUAUCUGCCGAAGGAUCGGCCCGCGUCUGAUUAGCUAGUUGGUGAGGUUACGGCUCACCAAGGCGACGAUCAGUAGCUGGUCUGAGAGGAUGAUCAGGCACACUGGGACUGAGACACGGCCCAGACUCCUACGGGAGGCAGCAGUGGGGAAUAUUGGACAAUGGGGGCAACCCUGAUCCAGCCAUGCCGCGUGAGUGAUGACGGCCUUAGGGUUGUAAAGCUCUUUUCUCCGGGACGAUAAUGACGGUACCGGAGGAAUAAGCCCCGGCUAACUUCGUG
rnacentral:rRNA from 1 species